rnacentral:pre_miRNA from 1 species
UCCCAUGGACGAGCAAAGAGAGUAGUUUCUUGACAUGGAAUCUACUCCUGCUAAAGAUGCUGUGAA